rnacentral:lncRNA from 1 species
UAACAAGCAUACUGGAUGUAACAAGAUAUGCAGCUAAAAACAUUAAUCAUAUUAAAACUAAUUAAAAACUGAAAAGUUUCUGUGCAUUCCAAGCACUGGGGGCGGGAGGGGGCGGGGAGGGCUUUGGACUGAGCACUGGCGUUUCCUGAGCACAAGCAAAUGCCUGACACAUGGACUUUGCCGAAUUCCAAAAUGUAGCAAAACAGUGCCUGCAUAUUUGGCAGGAAUCACCACCAGUUCAGAAGCCUGAAUGACACAUCUGAGAUGCACUCUAAAGGCACAG